rnacentral:rRNA from 1 species
UGGGGAAUAUUGGACAAUGGGCGAAAGCCUGAUCCAGCCAUGCCGCGUGUGUGAAGAAGGUCUUCGGAUUGUAAAGCACUUUAAGUUGGGAGGAAGGGCAGUAAGCGAAUACCUUGCUGUUUUGACGUUACCGACAGAAUAAGCACCGGCUAACUCUGUGCCAGCAGCCGCGGUAAUACAGAGGGUGCGAGCGUUAAUCGGAUUUACUGGGCGUAAAGCGUGCGUAGGCGGCUAAUUGAGUCGGAUGUGAAAUCCCCGAGCUUAACUUGGGAAUUGCAUUCGAUACUGGUUAGCUAGAGUGUGGGAGAGGAUGGUAGAAUUCCAGGUGUAGCGGUGAAAUGCGUAGAGGUCUGGAGGAAUACCGAUGGCGAAGGCAGCCAUCUGGCCUAACACUGACGCUGAGGUACGAAAGCAUGGGGAGCAAACAGG